rnacentral:rRNA from 1 species
AGGGAAAGUUGCAAAGCACUUUGAAGAGAGAGUUAAACAGGACGUGAAACCGAUGAGGUGGAAACGGACAGAGUCGGCGUAUCUAGCCUGUAUUCAACUGGAGACCCAAGCACAUUGGGUAGGCCUUUUCCAGAUUGGACAGGCAAUCCAACUGUUUGGGAGUCUACAGUGCAUUUGCAAGUGGAGUGCGCUGAGGUGGUCGGGUUAGCUGCGUGAUCUCGGGUUUGAGGCCAGCCCCUCGGGGUAUGGUACCCGGCUCGGGGGAGUGCUGUUUAGCCUGUUCAACUUGUAUGGAAAUGGUAUCGGGUCCGGCUGGUAUCCAGCUAACAACUGGUGGCGGUCGCAUGCGACACGUACUAGUGGUUGGUUGGGUCCUGGUCUGGCUCCCAUGUUUUCCAAUCCUCGGUGUAAAAACCGGUCAUCUGUCCGACCCGUCUUGAAACACGGACCAAGGAGUUUAGCGUGUGCGCGAGUCAUUGGGUGUUGGAAACCCAAAGGCGCAAUGAAAGUGAAGGUCUCUCUUGUGGAGCUGAUGUGUGACCCGGGUCACCGAGGUGGCCCGGAGCAACAUGGUCCCGUCCUGAUCGCUUGCGAUGGGGCGGAGACAGAGCGUACGCGCUGAGACCCGAAAGAUGGUGAACUAUUCCUGAGCAGGACGAAGCCAGAGGAAACUCUGGUGGAAGUCCGAAGCGAUUCUGACGUGCAAAUCGAUCGUCUGACUUGGUAUA